rnacentral:rRNA from 1 species
AGGACGAACGCUGGCGGCAGGCUUAAAACAUGCAAGUCGAACGAUGAAGGAACUUCGGUUCCGGAUUAGUGGCGAACGGGUGCGUAACACGUGAGAAAUCUGCCUUGAAGAUCGGGAUAGCAGCUGGAAACGGCUGGUAAUACCGAAUAUCUCUAUUUGAUCGCAUGAUCAGAUAAAGAAAUGGAUUCCGCUUCAAGAUGAUCUCGCGGCCUAUCAGCUUGUUGGUGAGGUAAUGGCUCACCAAGGCGACGACGGGUAGCUGGUCUGAGAGGACGACCAGCCACACUGGGACUGAGACACGGCCCAGACUCCUACGGGAGGCAGCAGUUAGGAAUCUUGCGCAAUGGACGAAAGUCUGACGCAGCCAUGCCGCGUGAAGGAUGAAGGUUUUCGGAUCGUAAACUUCUUGAAUGGGAACGAAAUGACGGUACCAUAAACAGGACCGCAACUACGUGCCAGCAGCCGC